rnacentral:rRNA from 1 species
GACGAACGCUGGCGGCGUGCUUAACACAUGCAAGUCGAACGGAAAGGCCCUGCUUUUGUGGCGUGCUCGUGUGGCGAACGGGUGAGUAAAACGUGAGUAACCUGCCCUUGACUUUGGGAUAACUUCUGGAAACUGCGGAUAAUACCCGAUAGGAGCUCUUGCUGCAUGGUGGGGGUUGGAAAGAUUCGGCGGUUGGGGAUGGUCUGGCGGCUUAUCAGCUUGAUGGUGGGGUAGUGGCUGCCCAAGCCUAUGACGGGUAGGCUGCCUGAGAGGGUGAACGGCCACAAGGCGACUGCGAGACGGCGCAGACGCCUACGGGAGGCAGCAGUCGGGAGCAUGACGGAAUGGGGGCGAGCCUGAGGUGGCAACGCCCCGUGCGGGAUGAUGUGCUUCGGGUGAUAAACCGAUGUCGACGGAGACAAAGAGUUAGUGACGGUAAUGGGUAAGAAAGCACCGGCUAACUACGUG